AGUGCAGAGAGGGGGAUGAGGAUGACCUAAAACAACCAGUUUGAAUGUUUCUGCAUGCCCAAGAUCUUAAUACAGCAAGUAUCUUUGAUACAAGACGCUGACAAACCUACAGCGAUGGGACAAAGCUGGACUUUCCGAAAUGUUUGGCACAUCCACUCGGAGAAGUGCCCGGAGAAGCCGUUUCAUGUCAAAUGUGAUUGUUCCCAUCUCCGAAGACUCUGCUCCCACUUUUCUUCACUCAG